UGCGGUCUGUGCCUCGCGACAGGAUAAACUUUUCCCCGGGCCAUACUCGAUCUUAAGGGAGCUGUCCCUGUUCCGGCCUGUGGGCUUGAGCACAUGGCGCCCACCUACUUUGUAGGCACCAGGGAUCGACAUAUCCAUCGGUUGCCAUGGACCGCGC
rnacentral:other from 1 species